AGAGUUUGAUCAUGGCUCAGAACGUACGCUGGCGGCACGCCUAACACAUGCAAGUCGAACGCAGUAGCAAUACUGAGUGGCAAACGGGUGAGUAUAAUGUGGGAAUCUGCCUUUUGGUUUGGAAUAACACGGGGAAACUUGUGCUAAUACCGAAUAAGCCUUUACAGGGAAAGUUUUAACGCCGAAAGAUGAGCCUGCACUUGAUUAGCUAGUUGGUAAGGUAAAAGCUUACCAAGGCAACGAUCAAUAGCUGUUCUUAGAGGAAGACCAGCCACAUUGGGACUGAGACACGGCCCAGACUCCUACGGGAGGCAGCAGUGGGGAAUCUUGCACAAUGGGGGAAACCCUGAUGCAGCGAUGCCGCGUGAGUGAAGAAGGCCCUUGGGUUGUAAAACUCUUUCGUCGGGGAAGAAAAUGACUGUACCCGAAUAAGAAGGUCCGGCUAACUUCGUGCCAGCAGCCGCGGUAAU
rnacentral:rRNA from 1 species